CUUACUGCGCGGCUAAGUCUAAAUAUUUGCGUGCAGUCAUACAUUUUACUCUGACUAGAUAAGCUACACACCCACAGCAUUAUUCAUACGGAGUGAGUACGACAGAAAGCACACGUCUUGAUAGAAAGAGGAAGACAGGAAGUUGUAUGAGGGAGUUUUUCUUACUAUGGGAGCACUUCACUUUGAAGGUGGAAAGUUCAAACUAAGUGAGAGUUCUAAAAAUGGACAUGAUGGUUGGAAAAAAGAAAUCACUGCUCUGUUAUGGAAAACUACAAGGAGAUGUUUGAAAACUGGAGGAAGGAUGCCACCUACUGGUCAAACGAAGGAACUGUCCAGAUGAUCAAAGACAGCAGAUUUCCAGUCUGGAGCUCCACCUCUGCCAGCAUGGUUCAUGUGGCCCGGAUGACCCUCAACUGGCUGACAGGACCAACGAAGAAAAAAAAAAAACUCCCCCACUAAAAAAGACAGAAUUC